CUCUUCUCUUAGUACAUCUAACUAAAUUUUUUAAAAUUAUCAGAUCUCUAAAAAUGAAAUAGUUAUAGUGAUAACUAGAUCAUAGCCUCUCAUUAAGUUGGAUGAUAAUGAGUCCAAUAGUUUAGAAGAUCAUUGGAGGCGCCACAUGCUUGGUGCUCAUUUAGCUGUCGAAAUUAUCAUUCACAAUAUAUUGAUUUAGAUAUGUCUUUCUAACGAUGGUC
rnacentral:lncRNA from 1 species